GGGAACCAGGACUUUUACUUUGAAAAAAUUAGAGUGUUCAAAGCAGGCCUUUGCUCGAAUACAUUAGCAUGGAAUAAUAGAAUAGGACGUGCGGUCCUAUUUUGUUGGUUUCUAGGACCGCCGUAAUGAUUAAUAGGGAUAGUCGGGGGCAUCAGUAUUCAAUUGUCAGAGGUGAAAUUCUUGGAUUUAUUGAAGACUAACUACUGCGAAAGCAUUUGCCAAGGAUGUUUUC
rnacentral:ncRNA from 1 species